rnacentral:rRNA from 1 species
UACGUAGGGUGCAAGCGUUGUCCGGAAUUAUUGGGCGUAAAGAGCUCGUAGGCGGUCUGUCUCGUCUGCUGUGAAAACUCAGGGCUUAACCCUGAGCUUGCAGUGGGUACGGGCAGACUAGAGUGCGGUAGGGGAGACUGGAAUUCCUGGUGUAGCGGUGAAAUGCGCAGAUAUCAGGAGGAACACCGGUGGCGAAGGCGGGUCUCUGGGCCGUAACUGACGCUGAGGAGCGAAAGCAUGGGGAGCGAACAGG